rnacentral:misc_RNA from 1 species
AGAGCCCCAAAAAGUCGAGAGCCGAGCACGAAACGUGAAGCAGCGUCGAGACGGGGCACGUUAAACGGCACAAAAGUGUAGUGUAGUUCUAGGCUUUAAGGUUUUUUUUCCCCCUUUUUUGUUUUUGUUUUUAUGUUGCAAUCCUUUUGGUUUGUCACAACACACAGGCAGACACAAACAGACACAAAAGCAACUAAAACACAACAACGACGGCGAAAACUAUUCAGCGAUUAUGUUUAUUGGCAUCGUGCACAAAAUCCGAAAACCCAGCAAAUAGCGCAAUGUUGUCCAACCUGACCCCAACCUAGUGAGUACCUCAAUGCCACACGAAAGCACCCAAAAUGCUUUCGUCGUGCUAACAUCUAGAUACAUUUUAAAGUGCAUACGCGCCAGGCACGUCCAACAGACAAAGUGAGUGGAAGUGAGGGUGGUGACAUCAGUAGGCGUGACCAGCAGUUGCCAGCCACGGCUCCGGAGAGCGCGUGUGCCUUUUAAACGGGACACGCGACAGUGACAAACUCAACUCGUGGGCAAGGAAUACACAGAACAAAAUAUUCAGGUUUGCGGCUAACACAAAUCACACGUAGAACUUAGCCCACAAACAAUACAAAACAAAAAAGAGAUAGAUAUAUAUACAACGUAUAUCCAACGAAAUAUAUAAACACAUAUCGUAGAUAGAGCUAAUCAAAUUAGCAACUGGCACACUUCAUUUUUACUGUGAUCAUGACAUAUAUACCUAAGAAUAUGCAUCAUUAUGCGCAUGCAGCCAUGAAUCUGAUCAACAUGGACUCGGAGAACCGUGUCGUGCUCAACGUGGGCGGCAUUAGACAUGAGACAUAUAAGGCUACACUGAAAAAAAUACCAGCGACGCGUCUGUCGCGCCUGACCGAAGCGCUGGCCAACUAUGAUCCCAUACUGAACGAGUAUUUCUUCGAUCGGCAUCCGGGCGUAUUCGCACAAGUGCUCAAUUAUUACAGAACUGGCAAGCUGCACUAUCCCACAGAUGUGUGCGGUCCGCUGUUCGAGGAGGAAUUGGAAUUUUGGGGUCUUGACUCGAAUCAGGUGGAGCCCUGCUGCUGGAUGACCUAUACACAGCAUCGCGACACACAGGAAACCCUUGCCGUACUUGAUCGCUUGGAUCUGGAUACGGAAAAACCGUCCGAAGAGGAAUUGGCGCGCAAAUUUGGAUUUGAAGAGGAUUAUUAUAAGGGCACCAUAUCCUGGUGGCAGGAAAUGAAACCACGCAUUUGGUCGCUAUUCGAUGAGCCUUACAGUUCUAAUGCCGCCAAGACCAUUGGAGUCGUUUCGGUAUUCUUCAUAUGCAUUUCGAUAUUGUCCUUCUGCCUGAAAACCCAUCCGGACAUGCGUGUGCCCAUUGUUCACAACGUGACCGUGAAAACGGCCAACGGCAGCGCCGCCUGGUUCCUGGACAAAUCAAUGACCAAUGCGCACAUUGCCUUCUUCUACAUAGAAUGCGUUUGCAAUGCCUGGUUUACAUUUGAGAUACUGGUGCGCUUUAUCUCAUCGCCGAAUAAGUGUGAAUUCUUAAAGUCAUCUGUUAACAUCAUAGAUUAUAUAGCGACGCUUAGUUUUUAUAUCGAUCUAGUGCUUCAGCGAUUCGCAUCGCAUCUGGAGAACGCGGAUAUACUCGAGUUCUUCUCGAUCAUACGCAUAAUGCGACUCUUCAAGCUGACGCGCCACUCGUCCGGCCUGAAGAUACUCAUCCAAACGUUCCGGGCAUCGGCGAAGGAGCUGACGCUGCUGGUAUUCUUCCUGGUGCUGGGCAUUGUGAUCUUUGCCAGCCUCGUCUACUACGCCGAGCGCAUCCAGCCCAAUCCACACAACGACUUCAACAGCAUACCGUUGGGCCUGUGGUGGGCUCUGGUCACCAUGACCACGGUCGGCUACGGCGAUAUGGCGCCCAAGACCUACAUUGGCAUGUUUGUGGGUGCCCUUUGUGCCCUUGCCGGUGUGCUAACCAUUGCACUGCCAGUGCCCGUCAUAGUCAGUAACUUUGCCAUGUACUAUUCGCAUACACAGGCGCGAGCCAAACUGCCAAAGAAGCGUCGACGAGUGCUUCCCGUGGAACAGCCGCGACAGGCGCGUCUGCCAGGUGAGCGCGCUCCCGGCGGCGUCAGUGGCUGCGGUACUCCAGGCUCUGGUCCGCAUUCGGGUCCGAUGGGCUCGGGCGGCACCGGACCGCGCCGCAUGAACAAUAAAACCAAGGAUCUGGUUAGUCCCAAGUCAGAUGAAUAUACAACAAUGAUUGGCAAACCACGAGAUGGCAAAAAGAGCAGGCUGCUCUAAGCCACAAUAAGAAAGAACCAAGAACACAUCAAGAACUCUGAUCCCUGAAAUUUUCCAAAUGCAAAGAACAAUAUUUUCGGCAUAUCCAAGGAACAUAUAUAGAAUGGAGGCAACAACUUCGAACUGGAAGCACUAUUAUUUAAAAUGUAUUCAACCAAACUACAAAGAUCUACUGCUAAAAGCAAAAUCACAAAUCGAAAAUCGAAAAUCUAUAGAAAAAUAUGCAUAUUAAGUGAAACAGCUAUAAAGGAGCCGCUGGAUUGAGAUCCUUAUCGUGGUCCCUUGGGAGCCAGCAUCGUUGCGAUGAGUCCGCGCACCAUGUUAGAUUUGAAUCCGGC